rnacentral:snRNA from 1 species
GUCGCUUCUUGCCCUUGUGGCUAAGAUCAAGUGUAGUAUCUGUUCUUAUCAGUUUAAAGAUUAAAUUAGGGUGGGGGUAAAUGGCAUAAUGGUUCAGCAGACUCUCAUACCUGAGGCUCUGAAGCCCUGGUCCAAACCCCCACAUGACCUUAAGCCAGAACUGAGCAAUGCUCUGGCAAAAAUUUAUUUAUU